UACGUAGGGGGCGAGCGUUGUCCGGAUUUAUUGGGCGUAAAGAGCGUGUAGGCGGACCACCAAGUCGGACGUGAAAUCCCUGGGCUCAACCCAGGAACUGCAUCCGAAACUGGCGGUCUGGAGUAGUGGAGAGGAAAGCAGAAUUCCUGGUGUAGAGGUGAAAUUCGUAGAUAUCGAGAGGAACACCUGCGGCGAAGGCGGGUUGCUGGGCCGACACUGACGCUGAUGCGCGAAAGCCAGGGGAGCGAACGGG
rnacentral:rRNA from 1 species